GAAUUUGGACGGAUUUUCAAUGCCGGCAACGGCAACUCAAACCUCCACAAUAACAAAAACAAAGUAAAUAUCCGGAGCACAGUGGGUGUAGGAAAAAAGUUGCAUAAUUUAGAAAAAUAUAUGUAUUUAAUUAUCACUGACGGUGCUGAUGAGUUGGCAAGUAUUGGAGUAUUUUGUAUUUUCUUCGUCUCGCAGAAUUCUUAAAAUAUCCAUUCUUGUCAAUUUACAUUGCACAUAUGGGAGCGAAACAUCGAGAAGAAACUGACAAUUUCGAUCAGAUGCUCUAUAGUGAAUUGAAUCAACAAACAAACAAAAUAAUCACAAGCCAUUGGAUGCGAGAAAGAAUUGAAUAAUUCACCUGAAUAUAUUUAUGAUAUUCACCUUCAUGGUGCUUAUAGCUAAGAGAAAUCAAGAUAUCGGGCGAAACAUCUGACAGACUAAGCAUUUUCACAAAAUUCAGGGGUGAAUUGAAUGAACUACCAAAAUGAAUGAUCUGGGCUAAGUGGGUCAGAAAAAAAUUAAAUAAAAUUUUCUGGAAAUUUCAAAUGUUUAAUUCAAUUCCCCAAAACGGCCGU